AAAUUGAAGAGUUUGAUCAUGGCUCAGAUUGAACGCUGGCGGCAGGCCUAACACAUGCAAGUCGAGCGGAAACGACACUAA
rnacentral:rRNA from 1 species